CUAUGCCAUACGCAACUUCGACCCUAACAACUAUAACAAAAUCGUUUCCAAUAAUCAAGACUAAUUCUUCAGACAAUCCUAUUUCCCGUGCACGCACCGUCAUCCUCUGAAACAAUCUACCACCGAACAUCAAAGGCGCCCAUUCCCUACAGAUUUUCAAGCACCAUCUACACAAAGCCAAACUGGCUACCUAUAUACCACCAUAAAUAAUUAUACUCUAAAAUUCGUUGUACAGUAUCCUAUAUGUUAAGUUGCGUGCAAUCUGUGAUAUGUUCGUGCAUAAUUGUCCUAGUACGUCUCGUUAUCCAUCAAUUGUUAAGGGGUCGAAUAUCGAUUGGAAUUUAGUUUCUGUUUUCUUCUCCUGUCACAG